UGGGGAAUAUUGGACAAUGGGGGGAACCCUGAUCCAGCCAUGCCGCGUGUGUGAAGAAGGCCUUAUGGUUGUAAAGCACUUUAAGCGAGGAGGAGGGUACUGGUAUUAAUACUACCAGCUACUGGACGUUACUCGCAGAAUAAGCACCGGCUAACUCUGUGCCAGCAGCCGCGGUAAUACAGAGGGUGCGAGCGUUAAUCGGAUUUACUGGGCGUAAAGCGUGCGUAGGCGGCUAAUUGAGUCGGAUGUGAAAUCCCCGAGCUUAACUUGGGAAUUGCAUUCGAUACUGGUUAGCUAGAGUGUGGGAGAGGAUGGUAGAAUUCCAGGUGUAGCGGUGAAAUGCGUAGAGAUCUGGAGGAAUACCGAUGGCGAAGGCAGCCAUCUGGCCUAACACUGACGCUGAGGUACGUAAGCAUGGGGAGCAAACAGG
rnacentral:rRNA from 1 species